UUAAGCUAAUAAGAGCGCAGGGAGGAUGCCUUGGCAUCAGGAGCCGAUGAAGGACGCGGUAAGCUGCGAAAAGCUCCGGGGAGUGGCAAGCACACAUUGAUCCGGAGAUGUCCGAAUGGAGCAAUCCACAUGAGUGAAGCUCAUGUAUCAUAUACUGAAUAAAUAGGUAUAUGAGGGGAACCGUCUGAACUGAAACAUCUAAGUAGGACGAGGAAAAGAAAUCAACCGAGAUUCCGCUAGUAGUGGCGAGCGAACGCGGAAGAGGCUAAACCAGAGUCAGCAAUGACUUUGGGGUUUGGACUGCAUUUAGUAUCAAUGAGGUCUAGUCGAAGUACAUGGGAAGGUACAUCGAAGAGGGUGAGAAUCCCGUAGACGAAAGAUCAAGUUGGCGAGCAGUAUCCAGAGUACCGCCGGACACGUGAAACCCGGUGGGAACAUGGGGGGACCAUCCUCCAAGCCUAAAUACUACCUGAUGACCGAUAGCGCAUAGUACUGUGAAGGAAAGGUGAAAAGAACCCCGGGAGGGGAGUGAAAGAGAGCCUGAAACCCUGUGCUUACAAGCACACAGAGCACGUCAAAGUGUGAUGUGGUACCUAUUGUAGAAUGGUCCGGCGAGUUAUUUUAUGCAGCGAGGUUAAGGACUUAAGGUCUGUAGCCGAAGUGAAAGCGAGUGUUAAUAGCACGAAACAGUUGCAUGCAAUAGACCCGAAACCGGGUGACCUAUCCAUGUCCAGGCUGAAGUGAGGGUAAAACCUCAUGGAGGGCCGAACCGACUCCCGUUGAAAUGGUAGCGGAUGAGGUGUGGAUAGCGGAGAAAUUCCAAUCGAACCCGGAUAUAGCUGGUUCUCCCCGAAACCGUUUUAGGACGGGCCUCGUGUGAAGAUUAUCGGAGGUAAAGCACUGAAUAGCCUAGGGGGCGAGAGCCUACCGAAGCUUAUCAAACUCUGAAUGCCGAAUAAUCGUUUCACGGGAGUCAGACUGUGUGAGAUAAGUUUCAUAGUCAAAAGGGAAACAGCCCAGACCCACAGCUAAGGUCCCAAAGUGUAUUUAAGUGGAAAACGAUGUGAAGUUGCGUAGACAACCAGGAUGUUGGCUUAGAAGCAGCCACUCAUUAAAAGAGUGCGUAAUAGCUCACUGGUCGAGUGACUUUGCGCGGAAAAUUUAACGGGGCUAAAAUACACACCGAAGCUUGGGCUUGACGCUUUUGCGUCAGGGGUAGGGGAGCGUCGUGUAAGGGGCGAAGUCGUAUCGUAAGGGACGGUGGACUUUACACGAGUGAGAAUGCCGGAAUGAGUAGCGAGAAUUAUGUGAGAAUCAUAAUGGUCGAAAGCCUAAGGUUUUUGGAGGAAGGUUCGUCCGCUCCAAGUAAGCCGGGAGCUAAGGUCAGGCGGAAACGCGUAGCCGAUGCACAUACGGUUGAAAUUCCGUAGCCUCAGAAAGAUUUAAGCGAAGGGACACUUUGAAAGGACUGUUGCCGGGUGUUGGUUACCCCGGUCGUAAGGGAACGAAAUUAAGUAGUGAAGGCAGUCUGGACGGAGGCGAGAAAAGCUUCGUGUAUAUCUUAUGAGCCCGUACCGCAAACCGACACAGGUAGGUGGGAUGAGAAUUCUAAGACCAACGGGAGAAGGGUAGUUAAGGAACUCGGCAAAUUGUCCCCGUAACUUCGGAAUAAGGGGAGCCUGCGAAAGCAGGCCGCAGAGAAUUGGCCCAGGCGACUGUUUAUCAAAAACACAGCUCUAUGCUAAAUCGAAAGAUGACGUAUAUGGGGUGACACCUGCCCGGUGCUGGAAGGUUAAGAGGAGAUGUGAGAGCAUCGAAUUGAAGCCCCAGUAAACGGCGGCCGUAACUAUAACGGUCCUAAGGUAGCGAAAUUCCUUGUCAGGUAAGUUCUGACCCGCACGAAUGGUGUAACGA
rnacentral:rRNA from 1 species